rnacentral:rRNA from 1 species
CCUACGGGUGGCAGCAGUGGGGAAUAUUGGGCAAUGGGCGCAAGCCUGACCCAGCAACGCCGCGUGAAGGAAGAAGGCUUUCGGGUUGUAAACUUCUUUUGUCAGGGAAGAGUAGAAGACGGUACCUGACGAAUAAGCAACGGCUAACUCCGUGCCAGCAGCCGCGGUAAUACGGAGGUUGCAAGCGUUGUCCGGAUUUACUGGGUGUAAAGGGUGUGUAGCCGGGUUGGCAAGUCAGAUGUGAAAUCCUGGGGCUUAACCCCAGAACUGCGGUUGAAACUGGUGGUCUUGAGUUGUGGAGAGGCAUGCGGAAUGCCUGGUGUAGCGGUGAAAUGCGUAGAUAUUGGGAAGAACACCAGUGGCGAAGGCAGUCUGCUGGAC